rnacentral:lncRNA from 1 species
UGAGCUAAGCAUAUAAAUGGUAAUUAGAUGACUUUUAAAAAAUAUCCUGAUUAUAAAUUUAAUAGUUAAUCACAUUGUGUGUCUUUGAUGAAUUAGUGUUAUGCACUUCUUGCAUUACUUAAUUGAAGAGAAUAAAAACUUAAUUCCAGAUAAGAAAAUUUUUGUCCACAAUGCUCUGAAUUUAAUAUCUUUGCUUUAGACCUGACCUGUGCAGGCUAGUUGCUAAAUAAUUAAGAAGAAUGAUAUUCACCAGUCCUAACUCCAGGAAGCCGGCUUGCAGUAACCAUCUGCUAAUGAAACCCCUGAGAAUUCCCACAGUGCAGAGAAAACAAACGUUAUGCAAUUAUGCCACGCAGUUCUCACUUCCUUUAUAGUAAUACACCAUUCCAAUUAACAAUCUGGUGGGCCUGGGGAUUCAUAAAAUUUUGAAUAGAACCUUUAGGCUGUCUCAAACCAACUGCUAGAGUUAAAUAUAAAAGGAAACAAGAUUCUUAGAUGAAAAACUUAACUAUAAAUAUUUAAUUCCUUAGCUUGCAAUAGGAUACCAAGUUUCAGUUCAUGGCAUCUGAUCAGAGACAGGAAGGAUCUUCAGAGGUCAUAAAUUCCAGACUUCUACCCCUGGGAAGGACCGUGUCCAGGACAUGCUAUCAGCCGUCUUCCCUACCCAAAUUGUCAGCACCACAGCCCAUCAAGCAAUUCUCUGCUUCUCACCGUGCUAUUUCCAUUUCUUUGCUGUCUGCACUACCUAAGCUAGACAAUUUCAUAGAGGAAAAGGUAGGGGCCAUGGUUUACUAUUUAUGUCUGUUGCAGGGAGUGGAAUGGCUGGAAGAGAUGUGGAUGUACACAUCUGAAUUUAAGUUUCUACACAGCAACAAAAACUGUAUUAAAAACAAAUUUGAUUUAGCCUAUUGAAGUACCCUUAGGUAUUACAACUUCUAUGUGAUUUUCCACUCAUACGGUUUUUGAGUAAGAGUGUUGAAUGUGAAUUAUACUGGUUUAUAAAACUGAUCUAUAUGAAGCCUAAAAUGGAUUGACAUUGUAAUUAGUAUUUCCAAUAAAAGGUGGAGUAGAGAAUGUUCUAGAGAUGAA